GGUUCUGCCCACAGCCUCACCCCACCAGCCUUCUCACAGGGAAGGUGCCAGGGCUCUGUGGCUGCCACAGUCCUGUGGUGUCCAGACCAUUUCUCAAGCUUGCUUUAGAUUGUGGCAAUGAGUUAAUUUUGCAUAGACAUUAUUGAAUAUCAUUCAGUGAGUUACUACAGAAAUGUAGAUUCAUAAAAAAACAACAACAACCCAAGUCUCAUCAACUGUUUCUCAAGUUUCUUGGGUCUCCCAAUGACCCAUGGCCAUCUGCUGGGAGAUCUCUGUGCAUGAGGACCUGAUGGAUUUGUAGGAGAUCCUGCUCUUCUAUGGGAGUAGCCCCAGUGGGCACGCUGCUCAAAUGAGGCUGAAACAUAAUUGGUAUGAACAGCACUUAAUUCCAGACUGACUUCUUUUGAACUG
rnacentral:lncRNA from 1 species